rnacentral:rRNA from 1 species
GCACAAGCGGUGGAUGAUGUGGAUUAAUUCGAUGCAACGCGAAAAACCUUACCUACCCUUGACAUGUCCAGAACCCUGCAGGGAUGCGGGGGUGCCCGAAAGGGAAUUGGAACACAGGUGCUGCAUGGCUGUCGUCAGCUCGUGUCGUGAGAUGUUGGGUUAAGUCCCGCAACGAGCGCAACCCUUAUCAUUAGUUGCUACGCAAGGGCACUCUAAUGAGACUGCCGGUGACAAACCGGAGGAAGGUGGGGAUGACGUCAAGUCCUCAUGGCCCUUAUGGGUAGGGCUUCACACGUCAUACAAUGGUCGGUACAGAGGGUUGCCAAGCCGCGAGGUGGAGCCAAUCCCAGAAAGCCGAUCGUAGUCCGGAUUGUUCUCUGCAACUCGAGAGCAUGAAGUCGGAAUCGCUAGUAAUCGCGGAUCAGCAUGUCGCGGUGAAUACGUUCCCGGGUCUU